UACGGGGGGAGCAAGCGUUGUUCGGAUUUACUGGGCGUAAAGGGCGCGUAGGCGGCCACCGCAAGUCGGUUGUGAAAUCUCCGGGCUUAACCCGGAAAGGUCAAUCGAUACUGCGGGCUAGAGUGCAGAAGGGGCAACUGGAAUUCUCGGUGUAGCGGUGAAAUGCGUAGAUAUCGAGAGGAACACCUGCGGCGAAGGCGGGUUGCUGGGCUGACACUGACGCUGAGGCGCGAAAGCUAGGGGAGCGAACGGG
rnacentral:rRNA from 1 species